rnacentral:rRNA from 1 species
UACAGAGGUCCCAAGCGUUGUUCGGAUUCACUGGGCGUAAAGGGUGCGUAGGUGGUGAGGUAAGUCGGAUGUGAAAGCUCGGAGCUCAACUCCGAAAUGGCAUUGGAAACUACCUUGCUCGAGGGUUGGAGGGGGGACUGGAAUACUUGGUGUAGCAGUGAAAUGCGUAGAUAUCAAGUGGAACACCAGUGGCGAAGGCGAGUCCCUGGACAAACUCCUGACACUGGAGGCACGAAAGCUAGGGGAGCAAACAGGA